rnacentral:sRNA from 1 species
UAGCCACAUUCUAAUUUCGAACUCAAAAUAGGCUAAUGUGACUUGAGUACUUGACUAUAUCGACCACAGAACCACUCAACUACGUUGUAAUUUUAAAAGAAAAAUCUCUACAUGAUUUUUCUACAGUACUUCAUGAUUUUAUCACAUCUCAUAUGGUCGUGGUCGUUAUAGCGAAUAAAUCCGUUUGCGGCUUGCAUAGUAUAUAGUAGCAUUCUAAUAGUACUGCAGAUCGGAAAAAAAAAUGGCGCGGACUAAUUACAACCGUUUCUACAUAAAUAUAAAUUUGGUCCGUGGCGAUUAGUACUAUUUUCUAAAAAUAUAGUGGUUUAAUCUGGUUACGGUUUAGUUCGCUUCGCUCACAAGUCACAACAUACAUUCAAAAUCUCUAUAAUAAUUAAAAUUUGCUUAUGUGAUGGUAAACUAUAUGAAUCCAAUCAU